UAGAGGAAAACCCUUCGCAUUGUAGCUUUUUAUUAUCCCGCAGAAACCCAAAACUGUCUCGGUAAAACUACGAUCCCGGUUUCGUUAACCGUUGGAUUUUCAUGAAAUUUGGAUAUGUUGCUCGAAAUUCAAUUUCGCACACUCUAACCGUUGGGAUUUGCGAGAUAAUAUUCGUAGUGGGAGAAAAAGGAAUCGCAUGGAGACAGUACAAGCGGAGUCUUCAAUCUCUUCUCCGUUUCUCUGACGUUUGAGAAUUCUAUCGGAGCAGUCGGAGGAAAAACUUGAGGAAUCUCAAGGAACCGCUAUAGAUGCCGCUAUCGUUGUCGGAAGACACGUGAGUCCGCUUAGAGGUAAGGGAUGAGUUAUUCACAAUUGGGAAAUAGUGAGAACAUGUAUAGGGAUUCUUAGAGAUAUCAAUUGGAAAAGGUUUUUGAGUGUUUUUGCAAUUUCAUUUUAUCCUUAUAAUUAUUACAGUGAAUUAUAUAUGUUUGACAAACCAAUUGUUGUGAAAUUGAUAUGCUAUUAUGUUGAGCAUGAACCCUAUAAAUUGAGUACUUUUUCUAAUUAAUAUGAAUUGAUGAAAUAAAAUAAGGAGAAAUUUAGAGAGAGAUAUUGAUUUUGUAUUUUCUCUUUUUCUUGUGCAUUGAAAGCUUACUUUGAAAUUUGUGAUUCAAUAUGAUGUAUGCCAGUUUAUAGAUAUAGAGGUAGCUAUUUAUAUUAAUAAUUUAUGUAAAUAAUAUUGUAGAGUGUUGUAGUAUGAUUCCAAAAAUUAUUAAGUGUUGGAGUUUGAGAAUAUUAUGGUUAAAUUUCAUGAACAUGUGUAUGUUGUACCUUAUGAAUAUCAUUGACAAUGUUAUGAGAUGGUUGAUGUGAUGUUAUGAGAUGUUAAAGUGUGAACAUGAUAUUCGAUUGUGAAUAAGUGGAUGUGUUAACACUUGAUGUUACAUUAAUUAUAUCGUGAGCUAUGAAUUAUACAAUAACUCGACCAGUGUUUAUGCGCAGUGUUAAAGAGAAAGUGUAGGUUCCUAGUUAGGAACCAGUGUUAAAUUGUAGCGCAAUUGUGUUAAACAUGUUUGAAACAUGAGUGUGAGGUCGUGGUAUUGUAUAAUUCAUGAGCAGUGCUUAUAAAUGAAAUAUGUGAUGAAUUGUGGAAUGAUAUGUUGCCUUGAGAUUAUAAUAUUGUUAUUGAGAUUGAGUAAAAGUGUAAAGUAGAACAGGUGUUGAAUUGUGAGAUAUGUGAAAACAUGUGAUGGUGGAUUGUAACAUUAUGAGAUGUGAAAUUGUGAAUGAGUUUUGGUUGUGAAUAAGUGUGUGAUUAACUCUUGAUGUGACAUUAUUUGUGUUGUAAGCUGUGAAUUGUACAAUAACCCGACCAGUGUUAUCUUGAGAAAAGUGUAAAUGCGCAGUGUUAAAGAGAAAUUGUAGGUUUCCUAUUUAGGAACCAGUGUUAAAGAGAAAGUGUAGGUUCCUAUUUAGGAACCAGUGUUAAAUUGUAGCGCAAUAUGUUGUACGUGCUUAAGACACGAGUGUGAGGUCGUGGGUAUUGUAUAAUUCACUAGCAGUGUCUGUGUGUUAAAAUGAUUUUAGGGGUUGGACCUGAAUCAGGAGGGAGAGGCCCUGACGGACUCUUCGGAGUGUAGGCCUUGGGGGUCACCGGGUUUGAGUGCUCCUUUAAGCCUAUGCUGAUCCCAUAUGGUUGGAGCAUUCUCGCAAAACAUCGUGACCCUGACUGGUCUCCCUAUGAUCUUACUUAGUGAGAGUGACCUGGCAAACCCAUUAUGUGGUGUGUCUUGUUAUGUACUCCUAAGCGCCCCAGGGUGGUUUUUCACUGACAUGGUACCACAUUGCAUAUAGGCUUGAGUCUUAGCAUAACUGUCUCAUGCGCUUGCUAAUUGUUUAUUAUGAAAUUGAUGUGUUAUUAUAUCUUGAUCAGAGAAUGUGAUUUUUGUGUAAUGUGAUUGAUGAUUGAAAAGUGUGAUUGAUGGAUGAAAAGUGAACUUUGAAUGACAAAGUGGUGGAAUUACGUGAAUUACGUGUAAGUAAAUUUUAUUUAGUGAUAUGUAUAUCUAGUUGUCUUGUUUCUCUAUUAGUUAGGAAUGUGAUAACUCACUCCCCCUGUGUUGUUUGUAUUUGGAUCAUGUGAUGAUCUUGAACUUUGUGUUCGGGGGAGCAGACGACUAGGUGAAUUGCUUUAAGGAACAUUAUGCUGAAGGACGUCGAGACACAACGCUCUGAUAGAAUGUGACAGUGGGACAUAAGUUUUUAUAUUAGUGGCAUGAUGUUAG
rnacentral:lncRNA from 1 species